AUGCUGAUAGUAUACAUAAGUACAAUUGCCUUCCAAGCAGAAAGACCACAAAUGGUCAGCAUA
rnacentral:tRNA from 1 species